GGAGGUAUAGCUCAGUACUAGAGUGCUUGCCUAGCAUGCAUGAGGUUCUGGGUUUGAUCUCCAGCACUGCCA
rnacentral:tRNA from 1 species